rnacentral:rRNA from 1 species
UACGUAGGGUGCAAGCGUUAUCCGGAAUUAUUGGGCGUAAAGAGCUCGUAGGCGGUUUGUCGCGUCUGCUGUGAAAACUGGAGGCUCAACCUCCAGCCUGCAGUGGGUACGGGCAGACUAGAGUGCGGUAGGGGAGAUUGGAAUUCCUGGUGUAGCGGUGGAAUGCGCAGAUAUCAGGAGGAACACCGAUGGCGAAGGCAGAUCUCUGGGCCGUAACUGACGCUGAGGAGCGAAAGCAUGGGGAGCGAACAUG